ACGACCUUACUUAAAUAGGAUCUGUUAUAUAGGCUCGUACCUCUUUAUUAUUGAUUUCUAAGGAGAUCGAAAACCGUCUUUGGACGAUGAGUCAUAGCUUCUUGACCAGAGCGUGAUUAACCACACCAUUUGCUCGGUGUCGAAGGUGGUGGUGUAGUAGCGGGUCAUUCUCGGCUUGCCUUGUGAAGUUGGGGGGAGGGGGCAGUCUUGCAGCUGUCUAACAAAGA